GUGAAUGUUUCCUUGCAGCUUCUUUCAGGGGAAGAACUUCAACAGGAGUUAAACAGCUAUCACUUAGUAGUGCUCAUGCUCUAAGACAGCAGUGGUUAUCGACCAGUGAUCAUAGAGGUCCUUCCAGGAUACAUUUACAACCCUCAGUACACAGUAUAAGACCAUCUCCUAGUGGUACUCAGGCUCCAAAGCGAAAAAGAUUAUCAGCUCAAGCUGAUAAAGGAUCUUUUGAAAGAGGAACUUCUGCAACAUCUCCAUUAAAGCGGCAUAGAUUAUCCAGGGAUAGUGAUACAGGUAAUAUCGUAAAUUAAAAGGUUUUAUUAAUGUCUUAAUUAUCCUAUAGUCAACACAUGCCAUGUUCACAUCAUGCAAUGCAAACAUGUCAUUAAUUCUGUUUGUGUGAAUUUACAGCUUAAAAACAAAACAGGUCCUCCUGAAUAGACUCGAAAAUUU